rnacentral:rRNA from 1 species
ACGGAAGGCAGCAGUGGGGAAUAUUGGACAAUGGGGGAAACCCUGAUCCAGCGACGCCGCGUGAGUGAAGAAGUAUUUCGGUAUGUAAAGCUCUAUCAGCAAGGAAGAAAAUGACGGUACUUGACUAAGAAGCUCCGGCUAAAUACGUGCCAGCAGCCGCGGUAAUACGUAUGGAGCAAGCGUUAUCCGGAUUUACUGGGUGUAAAGGGAGCGUAGACGGCAAAGCAAGUCUGAAGUGAAAUGCCGGGGCUUAACCCCGGAACUGCUUUGGAAACUGUUUAGCUAGAGUGCAGGAGAGGUAAGCGGAAUUCCUAGUGUAGCGGUGAAAUGCGUAGAUAUUAGGAGGAACACCAGUGGCGAAGGCGGCUUACUGGACGGUAACUGACGUUGAGGCUCGAAAGCGUGGGGAGCAAACAGGAUUAGAUACCCUGGUA